AACGAACGCUGGUGGCAGGCCUAACACAUGCAAGUCGAACGAACUCUUCGGAGUUAGUGGCGGACGGGUGAGUAACACGUGGGAACGUGCCUUUAGGUUCGGAAUAACUCAGGGAAACUUGUGCUAAUACCGAAUGUGCCCUUCGGGGGAAAGAUUUAUCGCCUUUAGAGCGGCCCGCGUCUGAUUAGCUAGUUGGUGAGGUAAAGGCUCACCAAGGCGACGAUCAGUAGCUGGUCUGAGAGGAUGAUCAGCCACAUUGGGACUGAGACACGGCCCAACCUCCUACGGGAGGCAGCAGUGGGGAAUCUUGCGCAAUGGGCGAAAGCCUGACGCAGCCAUGCCGCGUGAAUGAUGAAGGUCUUAGGAUUGUAAAAUUCUUUCACCGGGGACGAUAAUGACGGUACCCGGAGAAGAAGCCCCGGCUAACUUCGUGCCAGCCGCCGCAGUAAUAC
rnacentral:rRNA from 1 species